AUUGAAAAGACAAUAAAGCUUCCAGGAAAAUAGCAUUUUAAAUCGUGUGUGUGAUUUAUCCUGGCUUCAUAUGAGUAGAGGACAUCUCCGCUCGUCGCUAGGCUAAUUUAUAUAAUGUAAAAUGCCAUAGGCUUGUGCUAAUAACGUUAGCAUGUUAUAUUUGUAUGGAAAACACGUUUGGUAUAAGACAAUUGUUUUGUCAGUGAGCCUUGUGAGUUGUAAUGGAGCAGAAUUUUGUAACGUUACCUUUGUUAAAUGUUGCUGUUGUCCCUGGCUGAAAUAUGUGUAGAGGAAAAGUUCACUAGCUGCUAGGCUAAUUUAUACAAUGUAAAAUGCCAUAGGCUUGUGCUAAUAACGUUAGCAUGUUGUAUUUGUGGGGAAAAUGUGUCCAGAUAAAGACAAGUGUUUGUCUGUGAAUGCUGCGAGUUAUAGUGAAGCUGAUUUGUGUACUUGUGUUUGAAAUUGUCUCUAUUAAGCCAUGUUUAAUGUAUGUUUAAUGUAUGUUUAAUGUGUGUUUAAUGUGUGUUUGAUGUGUGUUUGAUGUGUGUUGUUAAUCAACCAAACUUUACAGCACUUCAUAGAAACCCCGUUGCCAACUCUGGGAGGUGUAACUGCAGCGAACACACCCCUGGACAAUUUGAAAUUCUCACAAUGGCGAAUGGCCCACCUUAAGAUUGACAUACUCGCUGCCCAUUCUGGGCUACUGUAGAAACAGCAUGGCACACUGUGGAGGAGAAAAAAAAACCCUCUAUUGAACAACAAUAGGUUCCUGGCAGAAUGUUGGGCCCUGGCACUUUUGUGCUUGGGCCCUAAUUAAGUAAAUCAUUAAACUACUAACAUUCAAACAAAGGCUUUACUUACUUAAUUUCUUUAUUAAAAAAUGACAGUAUUUUACCAAAGGAAAAUAGAAUUACAUUACACUGCACAGUCAGUACGUUGACAUGACACUAGAGAGAAUUGAUUUUUUUGUGUCAGUCCGACUAAAACCAGACUUUUAAAAUAAAUGUUAACAUGUUAGUGCGACUUAAAUAGUACUAAAUUGAAUUUCGCAAAGUCGGAUUAACACACCAAUAUAAUGUGAUUGGGAGUUUAAUUCCUCCUGCAUGUAUACAGUCAAUCAGACCCAAACUGGCCGAGGCGCUCUGAGCAUGCUCCACAGUUUCCGCCCCGGGCUUUGACCCAGAAGUUGAAGGCAUUAAAUGCAUAAG